ensembl:misc_RNA 7SK 7SK RNA
GGAUGUGAGGGUGAUCUGGCUGUGACAUCUGUCACCCCAUUGAUCACCAGGGUUGAUUCGGCUGAUCUGGCUGGCUAGGCGGGUGUCCCCUUCCUCCCUCACCGCUCCAUAUGCAUCCCUCCCGAAGCUGCGCGCUCGGUCGAAGAGGACGACCUUCCCCAAUAGAGGAGGACCGUUCUUAGAUCAAGGGUAUACGAGUAGCUGUGCUCCCCUGCUAGAACCUCCAAGCAAGCUCUCAAGAAAGAGUGCACUUAUCUUGAUAAGCACUGAGUAAUAUAUGGAAACGUUGAAUCACUAUAU